CGAGAACCUAUAUCCUUUACGCAAUGCUGUUAACAGAUUCUUUCAAUAGGAAGAAAAACAUACAAAUCCCAAACAGCCAGCUAUUUCUAAAGUAUGAAGGCACAACACAAUCAUCGCAAGCAAAAGAGGUAAAAAGAAAGCCAUAGGUAAGAAGACAAUGAAAAUGAGUAUUCUAAACUAAAAGUAACCAAGGGAAACAAGUAGCACCAGAUAUAGUAAGUGCAGAGGCUCUAUGUUCUCCAUAUGCAGACACCUCAAUUUCCUAAGCUGAUACUGAUGCAGGAUUGCCUGAUAGAGAUUUUUGGAUUACAUCUUCAUGAAGAAAUUCAGAAAAUAGUUGUUUAGCUUGUUUUGGGGUUUUUAGGUAUUUGACUUUGUUAUUAGGGUUAGAGUUGUUUUAUGGUGCCUAUAUAAGUAUUAAUCUACAAUUUAAUCCUCCCUUUAUCAAGAAUGGGAAUGGAAAAGGACAGAUCUCCUUUGAACAAGAAUUAAAAAGACGUGAAAAUAAGUAGUCAAAACCAUCUUUAGAGCUAAAAGCUGGUUUCUUAAAACGGGCGUCACAAAUGGUUACAUAUCAGUAUGUCAAACUUGCAAACUUUCUAAAUAUAAAAUGAAGGGAUAUGGAUCUAAAUUUAGACACAGGUGCUCAGAUACAUUAUGUAGGCCGAAAAGGGUUGAAAAAACAUAUCCAAAAGAGACCAGCAAUAAUUAAUUGUUAUCUGCAACCAUUGAAUUCUCAUAAUAUUCAAUAUUUUUUUAACUUG
rnacentral:misc_RNA from 1 species